rnacentral:rRNA from 1 species
CACUCCUGCGGGAGGCAGCAGUGGGGAAUAUUGGACCAUGGGCGCAAGCCUGAUCCAGCCAUGCCGCGUGAGUGAUGAAGGCCCUAGGGUUGUAAAGCUCUUUCACCGGUGAAGAUAAUGACGGUAACCGGAGAAGAAGCCCCGGCUAACUUCGUGCCAGCAGCCGCGGUAAUACGAAGGGGGCUAGCGUUGUUCGGAUUUACUGGGCGUAAAGCGCACGUAGGCGGACUAUUAAGUCAGGGGUGAAAUCCCGGGGCUCAACCCCGGAACUGCCUUUGAUACUGGUAGUCUUGAGUUCGAGAGAGGUGAGUGGAAUUCCGAGUGUAGAGGUGAAAUUCGUAGAUAUUCGGAGGAACACCAGUGGCGAAGGCGGCUCACUGGCUCGAUACUGACGCUGAGGUGCGAAAGCGUGGGGAGCAAACAGGAUUAGAAACCCUGGUAGUCCC